AUAAAAGAAACAAAAUUAUUUGUCUCCAAUUUCGACCUGGAACUAGAAAACUUUCCUUUUAUU
rnacentral:tRNA from 1 species